GAGGGCAUAGCUCAGUGGUAGAGCACAUGCUUAGCAUGCACAAGGUCCUAGGUUCAAUCCCCAGUACCUCCA
rnacentral:tRNA from 1 species